rnacentral:rRNA from 1 species
GACGAACGCUGGCGGCGUGCUUAACACAUGCAAGUCGAACGGAAAGGCCUGCUUUCCCUUGUGGAUUGCGGGUACUCGAGUGGCGAACGGGUGAGUAACACGUGAGUGAUCUGCCCCCAACUUGGGUAUAAGCCUGGGAAACUGGGUCUAAUUCCCGAUAGGACUGCAGGGUGGUGCCUGUGGUGGAAAACGAUUUUCUAGUGGUUGGGGAUGAGCUCGCGGCCUAUCAGCUUGUUGGUGGGGUAAUGGCCUACCAAGGCGGCGACGGGUAGCCGGCCUGAGAGGGUGGACGGCCCCAUUUGGCCUGAGAUCCGGCCCCGACUCCUACGGGAGGCAGCCGUGGGGAAUAUUGCACAAUGGGCGGAAGCCUGAUGCAGCGACGCCGCGUGGGGGAUGACGGCCUUCGGGUUGUAAACUCCUUUCGACCGCGAGGAAGCCACCUGGUUGGAAGGGUGGUGACGGUAGUGGUAGAAGAAGCACCGGCUAACUACGUG